rfam:Ictidomys tridecemlineatus contig038924, whole genome shotgun sequence.
UUGGGGAUAGCUCAGUUGGUAGAGUGCUUGCGUAGCAUGCAUGGGGCCCUGGGUUCAAUCCCCAGCACCAAU